GUAAGAAUAGCUAAAAGGUAAGAGAACUGGGCUGAUAGUCAAGGGAGGCAUAAGUUUGAAUCUCAUUUCUAACA
rnacentral:tRNA from 1 species